rnacentral:rRNA from 1 species
GACGAACCGUGCGAACGUUGUUCGGAUUCACUGGGCGUAAAGCGCACGUAGGCGGAUCUUUAAGUCAGGGGUGAAAUCCCGAGGCUCAACCUCGGAACUGCCUUUGAUACUGGGGAUCUCGAGUCCGGGAGAGGUGAGUGGAACUGCGAGUGUAGAGGUGAAAUUCGUAGAUAUUCGCAAGAACACCAGUGGCGAAGGCGGCUCACUGGCCCCCCCCUGACGCUGAGGCGCGAAAGCGUGGGGAGCAAACAGG